AGCGAACGCUGGCGGCAGGCCUAACACAUGCAAGUCGAACGGGCGUAGCAAUACGUCAGUGGCAGACGGGUGAGUAACACGUGGGAACGUGCCCUUCGGUUCGGAACAACCCAGGGAAACUUGGGCUAAUACCGGAUACGUCCGCAAGGAGAAAGAUUUAUCGCCGAAGGAUCGGCCCGCGUCUGAUUAGCUUGUUGGUGAGGUAACGGCUCACCAAGGCGACGAUCAGUAGCUGGUCUGAGAGGAUGAUCAGCCACACUGGGACUGAGACACGGCCCAGACUCCUACGGGAGGCAGCAGUGGGGAAUAUUGGACAAUGGGCGCAAGCCUGAUCCAGCCAUGCCGCGUGAGUGAUGAAGGCCUUAGGUUGUAAAGCUCUUCGCGGGGAAGGAUAAUGACGGUACCCGCAGAAGAAGCCCCGGCUAACUUCGUGCCAGCAGCCGCGGUAAU
rnacentral:rRNA from 1 species